rnacentral:rRNA from 1 species
UACGUAGGGUGCGAGCGUUAAUCGGAAUUACUGGGCGUAAAGCGUGCGCAGGCGGUUUUGUAAGCCGGAUGUGAAAUCCCCGGGCUUAACCUGGGAAUGGCAUUCGGGACUGCAAGGCUGGAGUGCGGCAGAGGGGGAUGGAAUUCCGCGUGUAGCAGUGAAAUGCGUAGAUAUGCGGAGGAACACCGAUGGCGAAGGCAAUCCCCUGGGCCUGCACUGACGCUCAUGCACGAAAGCGUGGGGAGCAAACAGG